rnacentral:lncRNA from 1 species
UCAGUACAUACCUUUCAGAAGUAGAGAUGGAUUCUUUUUUUUUUUUUUUCCAUCCUGCCAAACAAGAAUGGAUAGCUGUAUGCUUUUUACUUUCUUAAGAAGAAGGGGCUGGCAAGAUGGCUCAGUGGGUAGAGUGCUUUCUGCUCAAGCAGGAAACCCUUUCUGUCUCCAACACCCACAUGAAAAGUCAAGCGAGUGAUGUAUACCUGUUUCUCCAGUGCUGGGAAGCAGAGGCAGGAGGAUCCCUGGAGUUUGCUGGCAGCUUAGACAAAUAGGGGAGUCCCAGGAGUCUGUCUUAAAAAUAAGGUACUGGGCAUUGAACCCAGGAUUACACAUAAGCUAGGCGAGCACUCUACUACUGAGCUGCAUCCCCAGCCCUGCUAUAAAGUUCGGAUACCUACCCAUGUGGAGCAAUUACAGUCAUGAAAUCCAUCCGGCAAGGAGGAAAGGAUCAGUGGCAAAUGUGCAAAUGCUGUUUAAGCUCCAUGUUCAGUUCCUUUUAGACACCUGCCUGACAUAGUAUGGUCCUAAUGUUCCCAAAUGCAUUACUAUGAAGGAGGAACUAUCUACUUAGAGAAACACAGGUAAGCUUGGAAAAGAUCAAAUUCUUGGUCUCUGGGCUUUGAAAUCUCAUGGCAUUU